AAAAUGCUGGACUGAUGUUCUGCAGUACUUUUCUACCCUUAGGAGAACCACAUUCUCCGUGUAACACCACCACCACCGAAAUGCACAGAAGAUGGAGAGGGACACAGAGACUGCAGGCAGAAUUUACUUUUGAGUUUCUGCACGUCCUGUCCAACAGCACUGAGCAGCACAACAGUGAAUGCAGCAUGAGGAAGCGAGACAAAUUAGAAGAACUGAGUUCUGAUGGUCAGUCUGAGCUGAAAGAGAUGCUACAGUUUCUGUCUGCAACUGAAGCCAAGUGAUCUGUAACGCCCGCAAUUACAGCACUUUACAAACGGAAAAGGAAAGCCUUGACCAUAAGUUGAUUAAUUCUGAACUAAUUUUAAGGGUUUAGGAAACAAAAAAAUACUUCAUUACUAAAGAUUUAAAUGUUGCAUGUCUACAUGAAGAAAUAUAUAUUUGCUCAAAGUUCAGAAGAUUGGAGGGUAAAAUUAAUCAUCUUCCUUACGUUUAAUUGCAUUCAGCCUUGAGAUACAUACUUCUAUGAAUUCUGUAAAUUUGGCUUAUAUAUACUUUUGUAUAGCUAUAGUUAUACAUACAUCUCAUGUUGCUGCUUCUGUUUCUGUUCUCUGAUUGGGAAACACUGCUUUACUACUGGUAAAGUUGCUCUACAAGCAUUUACAUCCAUUCUACCUUUGAAUACACGUGCACCAUAGCUUACCUGGAGAUGAAGAGAAUGGGCUGCUGAGGAAUGUCUUUCCCAGGGGGACUCAUUUUUCCAGGAAGACACCUCUGAUACAGUAUUUCCUCAUGGAGGGCUUCCUGAGCACAGCCACACAAUAUUUAGCGUAAAGGCAUCAGAGGAACACAAUUUCUUCAGACCACAACUCACCAAAUUGGCUAAAGGAGGCAAAGGGAAAUGCUGAAGUUUAACAAGGAAAGAAAACAGACAGAAGAACGCAAACCACAUGGUCUGGGAAUAUCCAACAAGGGAUCUUUUACUCCCUUUCCACCGACAUUUUCCUGCUGCUCCAUCCCAUUCCCCUCUCUCAUCUAACCUCUACUGAUGCUGAACUCUUCUGCCCAAUCCACAUAUGGCAUGCUUUGAAACUCACUGCUCUAUAGCAUUUAACCACAGUCCUCUUCUUUAAAAUUGAAUGACUGACAUAUAAUUUUAGAAGUCUCAGACUGACCCAGCGACUGAGAAUGAGCAGAAGCAGAAGUUUAGACACAGCUUUAAAACUGCAGCAUAUGUUUGUGAACCAAUUGCAUGAUCAAGAAAUUUUGGCUGGGACUUCAGAUAUUUCAUGAAUAUCGUGAAGUCAUUUCAUGAAACCAGAUUUGGGGUAGUAGGGGUGAGCAGUGGGGUUUUUCUUGUUCCUUUGGCUGAAGAGGCUCGUGUUUCUGGCACUGAAUGCAUUCGAACAGUGGUAUGGAGACACCAAAAGGAAAACUGCCCAGGAACUGGACACAGUGCUCCAGAUGGGCUCUCACUUGAGUGGAAAAAAUCAUCUCCCUCAACCUGCUGACAACACUCUUCCCAAUGCAGCCCAGGAUAUUGUUGACCUUCAAUGUGACAAGAACCUGUUGGUAGCUCACAUUAAACUUGGUGUCCACCAGGACAGCAAGGUUCUUCUCAGCAAAAUUUCUUCCAGUCGCUCAGUCCCCUGUGUAUACUGGCAUGUGAGGCUAUUCCUUCCCAGGUUCCACAAUUCCAUUUGUUAAACUUCAUGAAGCUUUCUGAAACUUUCUCCAGCCUGCCAAAGUCCUUCUCCUCGUGUGGCAGCCACUCCUCCCAGUACUGUGCUUUCUCUGCAAGUUUGCUGGUGAUAGAUACUCUGUCCAGUGUCUGUGUCAGUAGUGAAGUUAAGCAGUUAUAGGGUCAAUAUCAAUAUCUGGAUAUACUACCAAGAACUGGUUAGCCACUGGAUUUUGUACCACUAGUCACAAAAUCCCUGAGCCCAGCAGUUCAGUCAGUGUUCAGUCCACAUCAGAGAGUUCACUCCACUUACACUUCAUGGGUUUAUACAUGAGGAAGGCAUGGGAGACAAUACAGAAAACCUAUUAAAAGUUGAGAUAAGUAACAGAGCUCUCCCCAAAUCCCCCAAGCCAUUCAUCCCACUGCAGAAAGCUGCCAUGUUGGUUAAGCACUGCUGUCACUUUGUGAAUCCGUGCUUACUACUAUCACUUUCUUCAAAGAAAGCGUAGAUGUGCUGUAGAGAAAAUGAAUGAGUUCUCUGUAGUACGUUUCAGCUCUGUGGUAUGUCCCAGAGUUGAUUUUCUUCACAGUGGCUGGUAUAACACUAUGUUUUGGCAUUAAGAGAAAAACUAUGUUGACAACACACCGAUGUUUUGGUUGUUACUGCAUAGUGCCGUACAGAGCCAAGCACAUUUUAGUUUCUCCCCUUCUUCUACUGUCCUGGCAGCGAGGGAUCUGGGAGGGCACAAGGAGUGGAGGGGGGACAGAACCAGGACAGCUGACCUAAACUGCCCAAAGGGGCACUCCAUGCAUAUGGCAUCAUGUGAAAACUAUAUAACUGAGGGGAGCAGUUGUUUUUGUUGUUUUUCUUAACUCUGGCCAUGUUAUUCAUCACUCUGAAAGCUGGUCUAGGCUUAUUUAUGAUUUUUCCAGCUUGUAUAUAGCAUAUGCUCUUGUUAUAAUACAAUCCGGUUGUGGAUUUA